UACGUAGGGGGCAAGCGUUGUCCGGAUUUAUUGGGCGUAAAGAGCGUGUAGGCGGCUGGGUAGGUCCGUUGUGAAAACUCGAGGCUCAACCUCGAGACGCCGAUGGAAACCCUCCAGCUAGAGUCCGGAAGAGGAGAGUGGAAUUCCUGGUGUAGCGGUGAAAUGCGCAGAUAUCAGGAAGAACACCCGUGGCGAAGGCGGCUCUCUGGGACGGUACUGACGCUGAGACGCGAAAGCGUGGGGAGCGAACAGG
rnacentral:rRNA from 1 species